AAUAGCAACAAACAACAACAACAACAACAACAAAAAAAAACAGUACCUAUUCUUCCUUAUCAGAUUGCAGCUUCAACUCCCCUCUGCUGAUCGGUCCUCAGGAACAGGCAUCUGAGGCCCAGUUCCCUCCUGGGAUGAGGGACAAGCAGAGGAGCCUAUGGAGCAGGUGGAAGUUGACAGAGACCAGGGACAGCAUUAACCCUGUCUGUGGCCACAGGCAUCAGCAGCCUGAAGCAUCUCCACAUGAAUCCUAAAGAAGCAAAACUAACCCACACAUGUUGGGAGAAGGAAAAAGAACCAGAAGAAAAAUGCUAAUGAAAAACUGUACAGAGGUUCCUCAGAAAAUUAAAAAUGAAAUUACCAUAUGAUCUAACAAUUCCACUUGUGGGUAUUUAUACCAAAACAAAU